UAUGAUCCUUCUCAUCAAAAUGUAUGUAGAUUGUCUUCCUGUGUUAGGCUAAACCUUACACCUACUGAUGCCUGCUUAACUGUUCUCAUUUAGUAUUUUUAAUUACUUUUAGGUAAGUUGGUGAUAAGGGAGGAAACCUCACAAUUAUUGAUUGAAAAAGGCCAAUUGCUUUCGCUUGCAUGUAACUAAAAAAAUGUUUUUAUUUAACGUUGUAACCCUUUCAAAUAUGUGGAUUAGCCAAAGUAACAUAAGGUGACUGUUAUCAUAUCUUAAAUUUAGCAGUAUAUUUUGGAGAAAUUGUUGGCUGCUUGUAUGUUUUUAUUAAAAAAAAGAAGAGGGAGGGUUAUCAGAGCAGAAAAAAUAAGCAAUGUGUUAAGGAUUUGGCAGGUAUCCUGGACUGGUAGGGAGUAUGGAAAAGAAUUAAAAGGAGUAAAAGGUUCUAGGAAGGAGCUGAAUGAUUUCUUUGUGUUACUCUUCACCACAGAAGAUGUUGUUUCUAUUCUUAUCAGGUAAUGUUGAUGGGGCGUUUUCUGGUUAUCAGAUGAGAGAAUGAGGUAUCAGAAGAUCAAGUGCUAGAAUAAAGUGAUGAAGACCCCUAAGCUUAAAUCAUGAGGGCUAGAUGAGAUUCAUUCUUUCAGUGGUUCUAGAGAAUGAAGUGGCUGAUCUGCUAGCAAGAAUGUGCCUCGUUAAGAUGAGAUACUAUGUCAGAAGACUGGAAGCCAGCAUGUGUUGCAUACACCAUACUUUUAAACUGCGCACAAGGAGCAGUCCUGGAAUUUGCAGACUCGCAAUCCAUAUGUUAAUGCCAAGUUAAUUCCUCAAGUCUGUUUACUGAGCAGCUCCAUAAGUAGAUAUAUCUACACAAAGAAGGAUGCAGCACAAGGAGAAGAAGGAGGAGAAGUAAUGGCAAUACAUUCAUUCUGCCAUUUGGAGGAGCCUGUGCCACAGAAUAAUGAUCUGAAGAAGGCUAACUUAUUUGCAAAGAAGAGUCUUCAUUUGGAAAGCAGUACUGAUGCAGCAAAGAGGUGCUUUGUCAAGUUCAGAUCUUUGACACUCAGUGGGAUGAGCAUCUCGGAACAGACUGAUACUGGGGACUCCCAAGCUACAGUUCAGAAACCAUUUUGAUAGAUGGGGGUUGUUUGUCUGAAAAGUAUUCUGCGGAUUGAGUAUGAAACAAGAAGAGUACUAAUGAGAGAGAAUGGAUAUGGCAUCUUCACAAAGAGUGGCACUCUGGCCCUAAUCCUGUCACUGGAUUGUUCAAAUGGACCUUUAUAUUCCUGGGGCUUGACUGAGUUAAUGAGACUUUGAAAGACUGGAAGUUUCUACUCUGAAGAUCUGACUGUAGACCUGAACCUCAAUUUUUAUUUUACUCCCAUUUCUAUUUGCUUCUAAUUCAUGAAAAUCUCCCUAUAAAAUGGUAUUGUCUCCGAGUCUUUUUCCCAUGUACUUUAGUAUCAUUCGUAUACUGUGUACUCUGGAUAUUGUCAGUCAUGGUUGAAAUACCUUUGUUGUCUCACCUGCCAAAAACUCUUGAUUGCUGUUAUUAUUGUGUUAUGUUUUUACAUUUAAUGACUUCCUACCUAAAAAGGAGAUAAUCAUCUGCGUUUUCCGUAGCUGUAGUAUGAAACCUUCUCUUAACUCAGAUUUUGAAGUCAGAGUAACUACUGGAACUCUAUUCAGGUCAUUUUUAAAGAUGUUGGUCGAUUUUUUUAAUUAUUACUGUUUGGAUACAAUGUGUAUUUAUUUUAUUUUGCAGUGUGCUAUUUUCUUAGCAGCUUAUUAUUACUAAAAGCUUUCAGGUGAUGGUACGCUGUGAUGUAGGCCAAUAAAAUAAGUACAAAAAGACAUUAACUUUUA